GGGGAAUAUUGCACAAUGGGGGAAACCCUGAUGCAGCGACGCCGCGUGAAGGAAGAAGGUCUUCGGAUUGUAAACUUCUGUUGUUGGGGAAGAUAAUGACGGUACCCAACAAGGAAGUGACGGCUAACUACGUGCCAGCAGCCGCGGUAAAACGUAGGUCACAAGCGUUGUCCGGAAUUACUGGGUGUAAAGGGAGCGCAGGCGGGAAGACAAGUUGGAAGUGAAAUCUCUGGGCUCAACCCAUAAACUGCUUUCAAAACUGUUUUUCUUGAGUAGUGCAGAGGUAGGCGGAAUUCCCGGUGUAGCGGUGGAAUGCGUAGAUAUCGGGAGGAACACCAGUGGCGAAGGCGGCCUACUGGGCACCAACUGACGCUGAGGCUCGAAAGUGUGGGUAGCAAACAGGAUUAGAUACCCUGGUAGUCCACACCGUAAACGAUGAUUACUAGGUGUUGGAGGAUUGACCCCUUCAGUGCCGCAGUUAACACAAUAAGUAAUCCACCUGGGGAGUACGACCGCAAGGUUGAAACUCAAAGGAAUUGACGGGGGCCCGCACAAGCAGUGGAGUAUGUGGUUUAAUUCGACGCAACGCGAAGAACCUUACCAAGUCUUGACAUCCCUUGACAGGCAUAGAAAUAUGUUUUCUCUUCGGAGCAAGGAGACAGGUGGUGCAUGGUUGUCGUCAGCUCGUGUCGUGAGAUGUUGGGUUAAGUCCCGCAACGAGCGCAACCCUUAUGGUCAGUUACUACGCAAGAGGACUCUGGCCAGACUGCCGUUGACAAAACGGAGGAAGGUGGGGAUGACGUCAAAUCAUCAUGCCCUUUAUGACUUGGGCUACACACGUACUACAAUGGCGUUAAACAAAGAGAAGCAAGACCGCGAGGUGGAGCAAAACUCAGAAACAACGUCCCAGUUCGGACUGCAGGCUGCAACUCGCCUGCACGAAGUCGGAAUUGCUAGUAAUCGUGGAUCAGCAUGCCACGGUGAAUACGUUCCCG
rnacentral:rRNA from 1 species